rnacentral:rRNA from 1 species
AGCGAACGCUGGCGGCAGGCCUAACACAUGCAAGUCGAACGAAGUCUUCGGACUUAGUGGCGGACGGGUGAGUAACACGUGGGAACGUGCCUUUAGGUUCGGAAUAACUCAGGGAAACUUGUGCUAAUACCGAAGGUGCCCUUCGGGGGAAAGAUUUAUCGCCUUUAGAGCGGCCCGCGUCUGAUUAGCUAGUUGGUGAGGUAAAGGCUCACCAAGGCGACGAUCAGUAGCUGGUUUGAGAGGAUGAUCAGCCACAUUGGGACUGAGACACGGCCCAAACUCCUACGGGAGGCAGCAGUGGGGAAUCUUGCGCAAUGGGCGAAAGCCUGACGCAGCCAUGCCGCGUGAAUGAUGAAGGUCUUAGGAUUGUAAAAUUCUUUCACCGGGGACGAUAAUGACGGUACCCGGAGAAGAAGCCCCGGCUAACUUCGUGCCAGCCGCCGCAGUAAGAC